AAUAGGAAAGUGAAAAGGAAAAUAGGUUUCCUUUGGGGCAGUCCCAAGCUGAAGAGGUGUGUCGGGGCAGGCUGAGGAAAAGCCACACGCAGGCGGAGGAG